rnacentral:rRNA from 1 species
CAUGCAAGUCGAGCGAACUGAAGAGGAGCUUGCUCCUUUGACGUUAGCGGCGGACGGGUGAGUAACACGUGGGUAACCUACCUAUAAGACUGGAAUAACUCCGGGAAACCGGGGCUAAUGCCGGAUAAUAUGUUGAACCGCAUGGUUCAACAGUGAAAGACGGUUUUGCUGUCACUUAUAGAUGGACCCGCGCCGCAUUAGCUAGUUGGUGAGGUAACGGCUCACCAAGGCGACGAUGCGUAGCCGACCUGAGAGGGUGAUCGGCCACACUGGAACUGAGACACGGUCCAGACUCCUACGGGAGGCAGCAGUAGGGAAUCUUCCGCAAUGGACGAAAGUCUGACGGAGCAACGCCGCGUGAGUGAUGAAGGUCUUCGGAUCGUAAAGCUCUGUUGUUAGGGAAGAACAAAUGUGUAAGUAACUGUGCACAUCUUGACGGUACCUAACCAGAAAGCCACGGCUAA